UUGAAGAGAGAGUUCAAGAGGGCGUGAAACUGCGCAGAAGGAAAUGGGUAGAGCUAAUGAAUGGUCGUACUGUUCAACUGGCUGCCUUGCUUCUUUCAGUCCAUACCGACUCUUUGGCGGGAUGGCUGGAGGUUGCUUGUGUAGACAGUGCAGUCAGUAGGCCAGCGCUGAGGCUAGAUGGCAGGCUGCGGAAGCUUUGGCCCUGUGCCCGUGUCACUCAGGUGAGGCGUGGCUGGCUGGAGUGGAAGUGGUCUGGUCGUCUGGUUCGCUCGGAACGGUCCCAUAGCGAUAUGGGGCUAGUGGUGGUCGAGUGGUAGACUGCGGAAGCUGGAGCUGAGCGUGCUCGGUCUCCAGUGGAAGUGGGCUGCGCUAGGCUGGCACGCGUUCCGUCUCAGUGUUAACGUUAGUCACCUACCUGCCCCGUCUUGAAACACGGACCGAGGAGUCUAACAUGUGCGCGAGUUUGAAGGGGCCAAACUCAUAGGCGCAAUGAAAGUGAAGGCCGCUAGUCGGUCGAUGUGCGAUCCCGUAAGGGAGCAGCACAGUCCAGUGCCGUCUGCUUGCCAGUGGUACUGAGACAGAGCGCACACGUUGGGACCCGAAAGAUGGUGAACUAUGCCUGAGCAGGACGAAGCCAGAGGAAACUCUGGUGGAGGUCCGAAGCAGUUCUGACGUGCAAAUCGAUUGU
rnacentral:rRNA from 1 species